AUUGAACGCUGGCGGCAGGCCUAACACAUGCAAGUCGAACGAGUGGCGGACGGGUGAGUAAUGUCUGGGAAACUGCCUGAUGGAGGGGGAUAACUACUGGAAACGGUAGCUAAUACCGCAUACCAUCGGAUGUGCCCAGAUGGGAUUAGCUAGUAGGUGGGGUAAAGGCUCACCUAGGCGGCGAUCCCUCGCUGGUCUGAGAGGAUGACCAGCAACACUGGAACGGAGACACGGUCCGAACUCCAACGGGAGGCAGCAGUGGGGAAUAUUGCACAAUGGGCGCAAGCCUGAUGCACACAUGCCGCGUGGAUGAAGAAGGCCUUCGGGUUGUAAAGUACUUUCAGCGGGGAGGCGUUACCCGCAGAGGAAGCACCGGCUAACUCCGUGCCAGCAGCCGCGGUAAUAC
rnacentral:rRNA from 1 species